UAUAAUAUAGCAAAUUAGUGCAUUGAUUUUAAACAUCAAACAUAAAAAAUCUUAAGAUUUUUUUAUUAUAA
rnacentral:tRNA from 3 species